rnacentral:rRNA from 1 species
GAUGAACGCUGGCGGCGUGCCUAAUACAUGCAAGUCGAGCGAACAGACGAGGCGCUUGCUCCUCUGACGUUAGCGGCGGACGUGUGAGUAACACGUGGAUAACCUACCUAUCAGACUGGGAUAACUUCGGGAAACCGGCGCUAAUACCGGAUAAUAUAUUGCACCGCAUGGUGCGAUAGUGAAAGACGGUUUUGCUGUCACUUAUAGAUGGAUCCGCGCCGCAUUAGCUAGUUGGGAGGGUAACGGCUUACCAAGGCAACGAUGCGUAGGCGACCUGAGAGGGGGGUCGGCCACCCUGGAAGGGAGACGCGGUCCUGAGUCCUGCGGGAGGCAGCAGUAGGGAAUCUGACGCAGUAGUCGAGAGCCUUACGGAGUGACGCGGAGCCAGUGAUGGCGGUCUCCGGAGCGGAAUACUCGGUUAUUAGUGAAAAACAAAUGUGUAAGUAGCUAUGCACGGCUUGACGGUACCUGGUCAGAAAGCCACGGCUAACUACGUG